rnacentral:rRNA from 1 species
CCUACGGGGGGCAGCAGUGGGGAAUAUUGGGCAAUGGGCGCAAGCCUGACCCAGCAACGCCGCGUGAAGGAAGAAGGCCUUCGGGUUGUAAACUUCUUUUCUCAGGGACGAAGCAAGUGACGGUACCUGAGGAAUAAGCCACGGCUAACUACGUGCCAGCAGCCGCGGGAAUACGUAGGGGGCAAGCGUUAUCCGGAUUUACUGGGUGUAAAGGGCGUGUAGGCGGGCCUGCAAGUCAGAUGGGAAAACCACGGGCUCAACCUGUGGCCUGCAUUUGAAACUGUAGUUCUUGAGUACUGGAGAGGAAGACGGAAGUCCUAGUGUAGCGGUGAAAUGCGUAGAUAUUAGGAGGAACACCAGUGGCGAAGGCGGUAUGCUGGACAGCAACUGACGCUGAGGCGCGAAAGCGUGGGGAGCAAACAGGAUUAGAUACCCCUGUAGUC